CACUCCUGCGGGAGGCAGCAGUGGGGAAUAUUGCACAAUGGGCGCAAGCCUGAUGCAGCCAUGCCGCGUGUGUGAAGAAGGCCUUCGGGUUGUAAAGCACUUUCAGCGGGGAGGAAGGCGAUACGGUUAAUAACCGUGUUGAUUGACGUUACCCGCAGAAGAAGCACCGGCUAACUCCGUGCCAGCAGCCGCGGUAAUACGGAGGGUGCAAGCGUUAAUCGGAAUUACUGGGCGUAAAGCGCACGCAGGCGGUCUGUCAAGUCGGAUGUGAAAUCCCCGGGCUCAACCUGGGAACUGCAUUCGAAACUGGCAGGCUUGAGUCUUGUAGAGGGGGGUAGAAUUCCAGGUGUAGCGGUGAAAUGCGUAGAGAUCUGGAGGAAUACCGGUGGCGAAGGCGGCCCCCUGGACAAAGACUGACGCUCAGGUGCGAAAGCGUGGGGAGCAAACAGGAUUAGAAACCCUGGUAGUCCCAUG
rnacentral:rRNA from 1 species